rnacentral:rRNA from 1 species
CCUACGGGUGGCAGCAGUGGGGGAUAUUGCACAAUGGGGGCAACCCUGAUGCAGCGACGCCGCGUGAGCGAUGGAGUACUUCGGUAUGUAAAGCUCUGUCAGCAGGGAAGAGAAUGACGGUACCUGACCAAGAAGCCCCGGCUAAAUACGUGCCAGCAGCCGCGGUAAUACGUAUGGGGCAAGCGUUAUCCGGAUUUACUGGGGGUAAAGGGGGCGUAGGCGGCAGGGCAAGCCUGAGGUGAAAGCCCGGGGCUCAACCCCGGGGCUGCAUUGGGAACUGCCAGGCUCGAGUGGAGGAGGGGAAGGCGGAAUCGCUGGUGUGGCGGUGAAAUGCGUAGAUAUUAGGAGGA